GACGGUGAUGGUUAGUGGUAACCUCUUACGGCGACAGAUUAGAAUUCGCACUCAUCUGUUCCUCUUUGAGGGCGCAGGUUCGAAUCCUGCUGGCGUCG